CUUCAGAGAAGAGGGAAUAUCCUGGGGUAAAAAUGUAAGAAGAUCUCAGAGUUUUUCUUCUAAACACUGGGAUUUUUAAUGUGAUGAAGCUCAUUGUCUUCCAGAGUUUAUCUCCUUAUUGGCUGGUUAAAGAUUCAGAGUCUCUUUGAAUAUUAUUAAAUUAUCAAAUUCUCUGAAUACUCAUUUCCACCCGUGUCUCAUAUUCUCAACAGCAUGUGAUGUAGGAUGUACUAAAGGGUUGUACAAUAUGUCAUAAUGUUGCAGGAGUGUACCUACUGCUGAGCUUCGUUUAAUGAUGGGUGUGGGAUUUUUGUCCUCUGAAUCCUCUGGUCAGAGUCCAAAACGGCUCCCUCCAUCAAGACUUACUAGUAAUUCCUGUAUUAUUUCAGAACAAGACAGAGUCCUCAAAAUAAACAUUUUCAACAUGUGGAAAUAAUGCUGUCUUGUCACUGCAAGUGUGGAUAAGAAUAUGAAUAUGUAUAGAUUACACUUCUGGAUUUCUCUACAUAGACUCCAGAAACUAAAUUGUGGCCUAAAAUAGUUUGUUAAAUGGUUGAUUGUAUAUUUCAACUAUAUGUAUUAUCUAAUGAAACUACCUAAUCAAAGUUAAUAUGUAGAUAUUGAUCAAGAAGAAAACAAAAAUCUGAACACAGGGCAGAGGUUGUCAAUGGAUAAAAUGAUAAAUUGUUUAAGAGCGCCUCCUAUCGCCUCUUAUUUUGACACAGUUCAAAAACUCCAUAAAACUACUCAGUCUGGUCAAAAAAAAAAAAAAAAAAAACACAACAAAACAUGAUGCCAUUUAAGUGCACACACUGUCAUAUCAAUACGAUAUAUCAAAAUGAGUAAACUUGAUGACAAAAAUGCUCAACCAUGAGUGUCCUCUAUUCUUUUAACCAUAAGUUCCUUUGUCCUCCCGUCUGUGUGGGAGAGAGUGACUGAGUCUGCUCCAGAUCUUAUCAGUCUGAGAGGAGUAAACUAUUUAGUCUGGUCAUUUACCCUUCUCUGACUACUCAUUCUGUGUACAAGAGAGAGAUAGAGAAAAACAGAGAGAAUGAGAGACAGAAAGAGGGGAAGGUGGGGGAGCAUGUAAGGAUAGAAAAAGCUGUCUGGCAUUUGCUUCUGUCUGUGAAUGAUAAUAAAGUGGCUUCUUAUCACCAGGUUUACAGAAAUCUGAGUAUGAUUUUCAGUAAACAAGUUUAAAAUUCGGUUUAGAAAUGCAAAAAUCACAGAGCAGGAUAUAUUGAAGUAGUUUUCAUCCUCAUACAGCUGUACUUGUUUACUUAUUCAGGUGUAAAACAUGUCUCUCUGUUUGACUGGUACAUCAACACUUACAAAAGCUUUUAAUAAACCAAACUCUGCCAUAAAACUGAAAAAAAUAUAUCCUGUGAUGUUGUGGCAUGCAAAGCGCAUAUCGUCACCCUAUUAAAAUAAUGGCCUAAGUCAUUUUUUUUUCUGACAAAAAUAAGUUUUUGGCCUAAAUAAUCUCUUAAGAUGAUUUAGACCAAAAACUUAUUUUCAUUAAAAAAAAAAAAGAUUUAGGCCAUUAUUUUAAUAGGGUGACGAUAUGUAAUUAACAUUAACUCUAAACCUAUGAUCUCCAAUUAUAGAGGCCUCCACUGCUAACUCCAUAUAUAUAUUCCAUAAUAAAACUGAGGAUGAUUCAUAGAUAAAAACUACAUUUCAGGAGACAUUUGUAGGCUGUGUUUACUGAACGUGAUUCGUUAAUAAGGGCGUCACUUCUAACUUUUGGCUAAUCAAUUGUCUAAAACAACAAUGUGGGAGGGGCUUACCUAACGUAAUGUAUGAAAUAAUUGGCGAGUAGUGCGCGUCCCGUUAGCAUGAUUUUUUUUUUGUAGGAAGGUAGGGGAAGGGCCCGCCCUCCUUCGCCUCUGAUUGGCUAGAAGUGCUGGGCUCCGAUUGGUUAUCUCUCACGGCUGAAAAAUAUAUCGCGUCCCGUUCUUCGGAGAAAAGUCUAGCGCGCAUGUCACAGGUAGACCGGAAAUACUCCGAAAUGGCGCGGAAACAAAAAGCGGAAGCUGUUGUUUUGAAUAUUUUUGUCCAGAUGAAUCCGCACAGCCUGCCUGAGAAGAAAGUAGGCAACAAAAUUAGCAAGGAUUAGACUCUCUGAGUUGAAGUUAAAGUGGAUGCGACAAAACAGCGUCACAUAAGGUAAGAAAAGUUUCCUCAAUGCUGGCUGUGGAGUUUGGUUUGUGUUUUGCUGCUUUCGUACUGUCCUGUUAGCCUUGUGAUUUGCAUCUUUGCUUGGUUUUGCAAAGUUUGAUGUGCUGGUUUAGUUUUUAGGUUUCUUUGGCUAUCACCAAUUGCUGCGUUUCUGUGCCGGUGUUGAUAUUUGGGAGUGAUACUGGUUUAAAAGAGAAUUAUGUCUGUUACAUUUGAUUUCUUGCUCUUGCCUGGGCCUCCCUGGUCCUUUUUUCUAUGUUGUAUUUUGCCACUGGAAAGUUACAAACAAAUCAUUAAAUGCAAACAGAAACAUUAGCCAAUGAGAGGCCAUGGCAAUACCAUUGAUUGCCUUCAUCAAGUAACAAUUUGAUUCAAAAUGGAUUUCUUUAGUGAUAUUUCAGUUGUGGUAUUAAUAUUUGAAUAUAAAAGAGAUUCUCAGAGAAUUGCUGUUGCUUAUUGUGUGAGGACUCUUCAAGCCAAGAGCAUUAUACUAUAAAGCAGAUAUUUGGAUGUACCAUCUGAAAUGAUGACCUUAACGCUACAGUAUCAGAAGUAGUUGACUUCUCAAAAAUAACACACUCAUCGCUUUUGACUGCAUGCAAAGCUUACAAGUAAACACUGUGCUGGUCUUUUGGCUGUGUUCAUUCUCCGUUACCCGCUGGCAAAGUGUUGAUAAUGUUCCACCCCAUUUGUUGAUUUAGGUGGUUAUGCUGGGUUGUAGAGGAGUAAAAUGAGACCAGCAGUUUAUCUAGUGUAAAUGUCAAUUGUCAGAACCCUCCCUGUCAGUUACCUUAAGUUCUAGUUCAAAGGAUUAGCUGAUCCUUUUACACUGACGCACUACACGCUUUCAGGACAAGCCUUUGGCUUUGUAGUUGCGACGCUGUUUCACUUCUGCACACAGUUUUGGGAUGGCAAAUUCACUCACAUGAUUGGGAAUCACAAACAAAGCAAGUGGGGCAUUAUCAGCAACAGUGAGCAGCUGUAUAUCCUGGCAUGUGAAAAGUGCAGCAGCUUUGUUUUUUGGCCAUGUCGAGAGUCGGAUUGUUACUAAACCAGAAUACUUUCUCUGGUGGGAUCAGUCUGAGGUUUUGUGUUGCUGGUAGUUUAUGUGGGACAUACCUUGUAAAAUGGUUUCAGAGAUUUUUAGUGUGCAGUCAUAUAAUACUUAUGGAUAUGGCCUUGCUUUGGUCCAUAUCUUAAAGGGUUAUGCUUUAAGGUUUGUCUGUGCCUUCAGUGCAACAGUUUAACCCUAACCUUACCCUCUAACGUAUCCAGGUCUCAUUGCUUGAAGGCUUGUGAUGAGGGACAAGAGGCCACCCACAAGAAAAGAGAUUUACAUAUUGUGAUUUUAUGACCAUUGUUGUAGGAGCCAAAUAUGUUGCUGGGAUACAUAUUAUGAGUUGCAGUUCACUUUUGGUGCCUCACGCUAAAACUCAGUAGCGCAGCGCAUCAACCAGGUAACUCCAGGUAACCAGGUAACUCCAGAUGUUUGGUGGCUAGUACUGUGGCUGGGACCCUAUAUGUCCUGUUGAUGAAGUUAGGUGCUGUUCUUAGCAUUAUUUGUGGCUAUAGAGUGGCAUUUUGGUUGAGGUUUGUUUAUGGCUCCUCAGACCGCUGUGUAUUGCUAUCCUUCAGUCAUUACUGAAGUUGGUAUAACUAGAGAAGCAAGCGGUCGUCAACAUUCAUUUCUCGAGGGGGUGUGUAACUCGGUAUUAAGGUGUGUUUAACCCUAAAUUAAUUUGACGUUGGAAUAUCCCUUUUAAAAUGAGGCUUACCCUUCAGGGUGCUGUGAAACUUUUUGUUUGACAUGCACCCCCUCUGUAGCCUAAGGCAUUAAAAGCUAUUUUAUAGAAGUCAUGUGUCUCAUUGCUGAUGGUGAAUUUACUUUUGCAGUCAUGAGGAGGCAUCACUGUUCAUUAUCUGUUUCAUAACCAGUCAAAAACCCCUCAGGGCCACUUCAGUUUUAAUGUCUCUUGAUAUAGACUGUCUUAUGAUAAUAAUGUCUAACAUUGUGACAAUGAGAAGUGAUCUUGUCACAGCAUUUACACCCUUUCAAGAAAACAGUUUACUUAACACGAAUCAUUUUUAAGAGAUACACAAACAUUCAAGAUAGAUUUAUUACUUUUAGAGUGGAACACUUUAAACUGUCGCUCAUAAUUACCCUGAAGUGUUGAUUGUGUGGGUGUGUGUGUAGUGUAUGUCUGUGGGUGUAUACAUAUACUCUAGGCUGCAUGCCCAUGAGCAAACCUGCAACACUUGCACACACACACACACACACACACACACACACACACACACACACACACACACACACACACACACACACACACACACACACACACACACAGUCACUACAAGCAUCUGUACAAUGACAGUGCUUGCAGAAAAACACAUUCACACACUUCCUUGUGUAUCGCUGUAAGCUGAUGUUUUGGAAACUCAAGCCUUCGUUCAAAGUCCCUUACAGCUAGCACCUGUGGAGGGGUGUAUUACACACACCCACACACACAAACUUGCUUUCACAAACACACACUCCAAGGAUACUUCGGAAUGUGAAUGCCUAAAGGACAAGAGUCCUCUUUGCUCCUCAGUCGCUGGCCUUCUCUCACUCUCUGCAUAUUCGUGUCUCUUUUGUUGCGUCUUUUGUCACAUCUCUCUUCAUUACUAAACCUAAUCAUGUCUGGAAACACUCAGCACCAAUCACAGAGUGAUACAGGAUUAUGCCAUAAUGUCCAUUUUAUUCCAUGCUCCUCAUUAGCUAAUGGAUGAGGUGUGAUUGCAGACUCUCCAGCUAGCUCACUGGGAUAGACUCAGACACGUACGGCUUGUGAUCUCACGCUCCU